AGGGGAACUGCUCCAAUCCUCUCCUUGGUAUCCAUUAAUCCAUCUGCCUAUCCUUUGGGUCCCUCUUCCUGCCUAACUCGUAGUCACACCUUCCUGUUCCUCACCGUAUCGGGAAUACCUUGUCCGAAGAGGUGUGACUGCCUCCUGGGUACAGCAAACUUUGUUUUAACCGGCGUACAAAAAGAAUUAUAUGCCUGAAAUACCGAGAGUUUACUGUAAUAUUUCAAUCUCCGACUAGUCAGUUGAUGGUGGAAGCGAGAGGCACUCUGCCUGUAAAUUUUAUUUAAGGCAAAAUUGUAUUGUUAUUUCACUGAUUUAUGGGAGUAAAGUAAAUUUAGGUGCAAGUAUAACUGCUCUGUAUUACCCCUCCCAUGUUACUAUUCUAUUACUUAUGUGUGUUUUUACGUUGAUUACGUGGAUCUCUUGAUCAACCGGCACACUCCCUGGUCCCAUGGGUUCAUUAAAUAUUUGCUGCACAAAGAAUCCAGAUUAUUUUCGUUCAGCCUUCAACUCGUAAAUUCCGAGAAAAUUGAGUGCUCAAGGCCAGAACUUUUCCUUUAGAGAAGUGAAUUCGUGGACCGUCAUACGACAACGCUCGAGGAAAAUUGAUGCCUGAAAGCAAGAGUCUGCUCCUAUGAUGCUGCUUGGCCUGCUGUGUUCAUCCAGCCCUGCACCUUGUUGUCUCGUGAUAACUCGCAAGUUUGGUUUCUCCUAAACUCGUCAGAGAGCCGAAUACAACGCUUAUUCUCGUUGGAAGAAACUUGGGAAAUAUUAUGCUCCCUGUGAACUGGAAAUUGUAAACCAAAGGAGAAAAUAUUCCAGUCCACAAGUGACAGUGAACCAGAACUCACAAUGCUGCCAAAUAAGGUUCCUCUGAAAGGUCUAAAUCUAAGUCAUCUAAUUGACAUCUAUAUGAAUAAAUCCACACGGGGGAAUGCGGCUUGUUGGUUAAAUCAUUGACUUGUUCAAGUUAGUGAUGAACAUCCACUCAAUAUCAAGACAUUACAAGGUCCAAAGGUUCACCAGGAAGACCAAUAUCUCAGAUGAAUAAUAGCCUGACCAAAGAGCGGAAUUCCAGUUGUGCUCACGACCAACCUGGAAAAUCUUCAGACAUCCAACUCAGUUUCCAAACAGCUGUACUAAAUGCCUGUACCCAGACCAUUGUUUUCAGUAUUGUCAUCACCAGAACUGGCUCGGUGAACAUGACAUUCAAAUAUGUGACCUGGAACUAAAGUGAUGACCCUUCAUUGCUGAGCAGAAUAAUUCAAGGUUACAACUCAAGAAGGCAGCAUUUAAACUGCUCAAGAUUGAUGCCCAAAGAGAAAUUCAAAGAAUAAAGGACAAUAUGCUGCUGGGUUGGAAUGAUCAAAUGAUUCACACCACACCCAAGAGUUCACUUCUGGUGUCAAAGAGUUUAUUGCGAUCAUACCAGUGGGAAGAAAUGCUCUGAAAAUCUAUACAGCUCUUACCCAAACAAAGGAAAGUCAUAUAUUUUUAUACACUUGUUUUAUCCUGCCUUUAAUAUUUACAAACCAAUCAUAUUAUUUAUUAAUUACAUCCAUUUCCAGUUAAGCUAAUCAUAUAACUGCACAACUGGAGAUGGACAGGCUUGCAGCAAUCCCUUGGCCUUCCACGGUCUCAUGAUGUUUCCCAGGCUCUUUUUAUCUCCCUUCUUGAGGCUUUUCACAAUGGACAGUGUAUUGAAGUACAUUUCUUCCCAGAUAUUUGCCAGCUGCACCAUGUUAACUGCCAAUUAAUUGGAUACUUGCCUAUCACUUCCAUUAUACAAUUUACUAACCUCAUUACAGAACAUACAAAUUUUAACUAGUUGUUAUAAAUUUGUAAUAUUAAUUCCAAUAAAGUUAUAUGGUCACACCUACUGUUAGAAUUCUUUAGCUACCGAGUUGGGAGCAGUUUCUUUCUUACCAUGUUUACUAGACACCUCUACCUUUAUCCUUGGGUGUCUUACAAUCUGUUGAUUGAUUGAUUAAUUUAUUGUGAUAGGUUCUGAAAUACAC